CCUACGGGAGGCUGCAGUAGGGAAUCUUCCACAAUGGACGAAAGCCUGAUGGAGCAACGCCGCGUGGGUGAAGAAGGUCUUCGGAUCGUAAAACCCUGUUUUUAGAGAAGAAAGUGCGUGAGCGUAACUGUUCACGUUUCUACGGUAUCUAACCAGAAAGCCACGGCUAACUACGGGCCAGCAGCCGCGGUAAUACGUAGGUGGCAAGCGUUAUCCGGAUUUAUUGGGCGUAAGGGGAACGCAGGCGGUUUUUUAAGUAUGAUGUGAAAGCUUUGGGCUUAACCGGGGUAGUGCAUUGGAAACUGGGAGACUUGAGUGCAGAAGAGGAGGGUGGAA
rnacentral:rRNA from 1 species